GUUUCAUAAGUUUUACACCUCGGGUUAAUGGCAAAUCGGAUUCCUCUGUUUGUUUAUUUUGUUCUAGAAACUGAAAGUUGUUUUAUUUCUGUUUUAAUCUUAACAACAAUAGGGGAUUGGGAAGAUUCGUCAGAUAAUUCUAAAUUAAAUGUUUUAGUUAACAAAAAUUUUUGCGAAUAUAAAAAGUGGCUUCCAGCCAAGUGUUCGAAAAUGACUUUGAUUUGCCUUUUUUAAUUCUGAUGUAGCUGAUUGAAUAAUUGUUUGGCAUUGAAGAUGAUGGAAUUUUUUAUCAGAUCUUAGAAACUACAAGAGGUAACCGACUUAACAGCCUAUUAUUGCCAAUUAAAUGCAGCUGGCCGUUUGAUGUACACAAGCAACUUUUGAGAGAGGUUUUCAUGAAUCCACUUUAGGAGCAAGAUUGAGAAGAUCAAUUGUGGUGAUGCAGUUACAAUUGAGCAUGCUAUUAAUGUUUUAACCGACGUGGACUUGUUGCCUGUUGAGAUGACUGAUCAAGACCCGCCAACCAGCGCUGGGGAAGAAACAAAUCAUGAUGACAAAAUAAUUGGGUUCGAUUUCAUCCAAUCCGAACAAACUUCUUCUAUCGAAGCUUCAGAAGGAAGCCAUCCCCAACUUUCUCCUACUGAUAAUGAAGAGCAAUUAACUUCCCAUUAGUUCAACUGCAAUGCAGCCAAUCUGACGUACAUCAACGUAUGACAUCCCCUGAACAGAUAAUUCCACUUCCAAUAACUCUUAUCAAGAGAAUAAGGAGUAGGAAACGAUUAAAAUUCGUGUUGCUUACAUCCACACAUCCGCGCCUAGCUCCUCUCCAACUCAACCGAUUUAAGUGUUCAAAAACUCAAAAGAAAGAAGGUGUUUCAGUGAGUGUUCUUAAACCAAAACGAAGUCUCUAUCUUGAAUAGAACCUGAGAUAUUGAGGAUAGAACGUGUGUAUGUGAAAAACUCCCAUAAGUAAUGUACAGGGGGAAAUCGCAUUUGGGUAUAACUUGAGAAUGGUGAAAAUUAGAUGAAAUCUGAUGGUUGAUGGCUGAUCUGUGCAUCAAUACCUUCCAUUGAAAAAAAAAUUAAGCAAAUCGGUUGGGUAGAACGCCUGAACGGAUUCGGAAUGGAAAUCAUCAAUUUUUUUAAUAUAUAAGAUUAUACAAUAAAAAUUUUACUCCCUCAGAUCUUUUAAAUUCGAGAAAAUUAACUUUAUAAUUAUUAUUUAAUAAAUCCUGAUACACAAGGUACAAAAAAUAAA